rnacentral:lncRNA from 1 species
UGCUCCCAUCAUAUUGAGAGAGGAUCAACAAAGGGGCAAUCAAGUCUUUCAAGAGUUUUGAAGUAAAAGUAACUUCUUCAAAGUGAAGAUUUCUCAUAGGUGGUCAGUGUUCAGGAUACCUCGCGGUGUCCACCUUUUCACCAGUUUGAAACAAGAUCAGAAGGAGAAGGGAUUCUGUGGUGGCUUUCAACAGGAAGGGAUUGCAAGAGCAGAAAGAUGUAUUCACCUCUACUUCUCUGACAAGGAUCCUGGUGUGGUGAAUAGGAACAAAAACCAUGUGACGAUCAAGGAUGGACAACUUACCUUCCACAUUGUUCCAGAAAUUCAUCUAACCACUGCCUUUCCAGAUAGAAAAGUUUAUGCAUGGGAACUAUAUCAACCUACAUUCCAAUGAAGAAGUGGAAUUCCAAGAAGUUAGAUUUCAAUUAUUUGGUUUUUUUUUUAAAGCACUGAAGUAACAUUUUCUGCAUGCUAAUACGCAUUUACGAAACAAAGCAGAAACCUAGUCUGUAUACUAAAAUUAAUAUGGAGAAACCUUAUUGUCUCAAAGAUUUGUAAUGACUUUGGGUACAUGCAGAUGUUACAUUUAGAUCGAACUGACUGAGGGAAGGUUGAUUUAAUUGCCUGUCUAUGUAGAUGUCCAGGGGCCCAAUUUAAGUUAGUUCUGAGUAGGUGAACUAACCAAGAUUGGGUAUAGGUGAACAUCGUCCACUGAACAUCUACACAGGUUCAGAAUGCAGCCUCGAGGCCAGAAAAACCCAACUGUUUGCCCCAGCCCAUAGGCAGCACUCUUCCAACCCCUUGUCCUGACCCUAACUGAGCUAUUCUUAGCUCCCCAACUUUUCCAUCCUUGGAUGGACAACCCCUUCCAUGGACCUGCUGACCCCACCCUCUCAAUUCCUCCCACCCCACCAGGAGGAGCCCACCAGCUCUCCCUGAUCUUGCUUACCUCUCCCCUACCCUGAGUUACUUGCAUUGGGUUCCCUGUGUGGCUUCUAUCACCAGCAAGAGUCUGUACACAAUGCUCCCGGUCUGUGAUCACGUGGCUUAAAGCCAGCCACAUGACUGUAGACUGGGCAUGGUGAACAUUUCUAUGCACUCUUUGUAACAAUUGUUUAUUUGUUGCUAAAUGUACUUGGAAGUUGUUCUGCAGACAGCUAUUUCACAUUCAAACUAGCUGAAUUUUGUUAGCUUAAAAAGAGGCAAAUAAGUAAGGAUUAACCCUCAUCCAUUCUCAUGAAAACUGUAACCGUUGCUUUCAUAGGGUAGCUUGUUACCCCACCCACAUGAACAAAAUGGAACCAGUGAUGACAGUAUAAAUGUACCAAAAACUAUUUAUUAAACAUACAGAUUGUUUGAAAGAGUAUUUAUGAUGAUUUGAACACAAAAUAUUA